CAGAGGGUUCUGUUCCAGACAAACAGAGGGAAUUUGCCCCCCUUGGAGGCAAAACAGUUAACAUGGGCUCCAUGCAUAAUAAGUCACUGACCUGGUGGCUUCCAUACAUUACAGGAUCAUCACCAAAGGCAUUAAACCCUUUUUUUCUAACUCUAAACCCUUCUGAAGCUUAUUCUUGUAGCCGCAUGUGGUUUUCUCCCUAUGUUGGACAACAAUGAGAUACUUGAUACCUGCUAUGUAGAGGAGUCAGAACAACAGGACAGAAAGGGAUCAGCACAAAACAACAAUCUUUUGAAACACAUGGAAUGAAAAAUACACAUGGACAGCUUCCAGCAAUCUGCGUCUGAGCGCCCAGAGGGCAGAUCAAGGGCUGAACUUCACUACCAUCACCUGUAGCUGAACCCGACUAAAUGACUUUACAAGCGCCGUUAUCAGCUCCGUUCUGUGAGAAGGGAUCAUUACAAAAUUAAAAUAAAAGCUUAUAAAAAAAUUA